GGUUUUUCUUUCCCACCAACUAAUCUAGCAGGAUUACCAACAACAGUAGUUCUUGCAGGCACAUCUACUAAACAUAUCUCAUUAAAAGAGAAGUGUUUCUCAUUGCAGGGUGUGAAAUCUGCGGUGGUGUCACACGUUGAUGUUGCGGCGAAGGAUAUCCUAAAGAAGUUCACAUCCUGGCAUGAUGGUGGCGUAUGUUAGCAGAGUUAUGGCAUGAUGAUGAUUUCUACGGAGGAAGAUCAAAGGGGAUUUAAUACGAGGUUCAUCUCGGUUUCUUCAUUUUUCUAUUGUGCAGGAAAGCCAAGAGUUAUUCACAACACAGUCAAGGAGCUGAUUUCCAAUUGGAAUUGUCGGGACCUCUCUACAAAAGGAAAAGAAAUUUGGAAGCGAUUGCCUACUAGCAUUCUUUGGUUUGUUUGGAACGGACGCAAUGCAAGAACUUUCACAGAUAAAUCGAAGGAUGUUGCUGAUCUUAUAACGUCCAUUAAGUUACAAACUUUUUAUUGGGCUUCUACUGAACCUUGCUUUUUAGAUUUCUGUUCAGAUGACAUUGUUGUAAAUUGGAAAGAAAAACUUUUCCAACCUCCAUAGUGUUGUCGCGUGAGGUUGGUGUGGUUUGAACCUUGUUUUCUUGUUCGAGGUUCUUCGAUUUCAUCAGCUUGUUGUUGAUGGUUGGGAGGUGUUUUCAGCCUCCUUGUUGUGUUCUUAUGUAUCUGUUAUACUCUUUUUAUAAAAUUUCU